rnacentral:lncRNA from 1 species
GAAGACCAAUUCAACAAGCUGGAGACGAUUAAUGCCAACAAAUGUGCAUUUUUGAACCAUAAAUGCAACCAAACCAAACAAACUUAAUAAUCCAAAACUGCAAAACCAAGCAUCCAUUCCUAUCUCCUUAAGCAACAAGUCACCCCCACCAAUGGCAAUUUCUUCAUUCAAUCCAAAAACCCAAACCUACACUUCCACCAGGCCCUGACCUCUCACUCACCUCCUUCAUAUUCCAAUCCACUUUCUCCAUCCCUCAUCACACUGCUCUCCUCGAUUCUAAAUAUUCAAACGAAACCCUAACCUUUCUCCAACUCAAAGCUCAUGUUUGAUCUCUUGCUUUUGCAUUACGCCACCAAUUUCACGUUGCUAAACAUGAUGUCGUCCUUAUCUUUGCCCCCAACUCAAUACGUUUCCCCAUAUCUUUCCUUGCUAUCGUCUCUCUUGGUGCCAUUGCCACCACUGCCAACCCUUCUUUCACUUUCACUGAGAUAUCCAAACAAGUCAAAGAUUCCAAUCCCAAGCUUAUCAUCACAAUCCCUCAGCUUUAUAGCAAAGUUAGCCAGUUCAAUGUUCCAUUGGUUUUCUUACAAUCAUCAAGCUCCCCCAACUUAUCAUCAGCUAUUCCAAAAGUCUCCUUUUACUCGGNNNNNNNNNNNNNNNNNNNNNNNNNNNNNNNNNNNNNNNNNNNNNNNNNNNNNNNNNNNNNNNNNNNNNNNNNNNNNNNNNNNNNNNNNNNNNNNNNNNNNNNNNNNNNNNNNNNNNNNNNNNNNNNAAAUUUCAUCGCUUCGACCUUAAAUUUCACGGCCGAUCAAGACAGGUACAUGGAAGGAAGGAGUGUAUGUUUGUGUUUCUUGCCAAUGUUUCAUGGGUUUGGUUCCGUCUUAACGUUGGCACAAUUGAGAAGAGGAAAUGUAUUGGUUUCGAUGACCAAGUUUGGGCUGGACAAAGUGUUGGGUGCCAUCGAGAAGUACAAGGUCACGCAUAUGUUCGUUGUGCCUCCGGUUAUGGUUUCUUUGGCAAAGCAAUGGCAGAUGAUGAACAAUAAGUAUGAUUUAUCAUCGUUGAAGCAAAUGAUUUAUCAUCGUUGAAGCAAAUUAUCUCUACUGCAGCCCCACUGAGCAGAGAUUUGAUCGAGAUAUGUGCCCACAUUUUGCCCCAUGUUCAAAAUUUUCAGGUAAUUUUCACAAUCAUACUCAUUAAAACCAUUUAAUAGAUUUAUGACACAUAUAACAUGUUCAAAUCCUAAAAAUCUUAAAAAUUCUAAAUAUUCCUUUCAAUUUUUUUAAAUUUUCAAUUAAGCCCCCCUUUUUUUUAAAAAAAGUCAAUAAGCCCCAAAUUUUUUAAAAUUUUAAUUAGAUUCCCAUUUUUUGAAAUUCUUAUUAAACCCUCUAAAAAUUUUGAAAAUUUUAAUUAGACCCCAAAAUUUAAUACUAGGAAUAUUUUCCACUAAUAUUGUUGUUUAAAUUAAACCAGAUCGACUGGUCAGACCAGUUGGACCAAAAACUGACCGAGGUAUUAGUUCAGAGAAAGGCAUUAUACUAGUUUUCUUUAGAACUGAUAUAGAUCGAUAUAAAAAUGAUUGAACUAAUUAGUUGCAUCGAAAUUUUUUUAUUUUUUAAUAUUUUAUAUUUUCAUGAAUUUUUAAUAGUUUAUUUAAUUAAACUAAACAGCCCGAUCGAUCCAAUUGGUGAUUAGAGCAAUUCGAUCACCCGUCCAAUUCUAAAAACCUUAAACAUUCAUCCCAUGUGUAUAUAUAUAAAAUUUAAGUAGCACAUUCUGUUUUAUUGCCUCUUGAAAUCGAAUGGAGUAGUGUGAAAGGGAGAUAUUCAUAAAUAAGUCCUAUAGCUACACACACAGUCCAAUUCGCUUCAUAACUUGACAUUGAUAUUUCUUUAGCAUUUGACAAUUUUGUAGUAUUGUCUUCGGUUGCAUAGUAGAAUUAAGUGGGUUAUUAAAGUGUAAAAUGAGGCGCCUGAGCUAAUCAUGAUUUAAAAUGAAAACAAAAAUGGUGCAGGCAUAUGGUAUGGCAGAAGCUUGCGGGAAUAUUUCAAUGGAGAAUCCUAAGGAAGGCCCUCCUUUCUCAGGACUCUAAUGCCUCUAAUUCAAUCCAAACAAUGAACCCCCUUCCUCCAAAUCAGAUGGGAGAAAUAUGCAUUCGAGGGCCCACUAUUACACUAGGUAAUAAGCUUUACAAUGAACCAUGGUUCAAUCCAGUUGGAUAUUCCAACUUCAGCAUUUAUAGUUAUUGUAUAUUGUCUCCUGAUCUUUAACCAUAUGGGACGCAAUAAUGGCAUCGUGAAUAAUUGUUUGCUACUUUGCUUAUAACUUUUGUUACAAGAAAUUCAAUCAUUGUCCUUCUAUCUAACAUUAUUACAGUCGUCAGCUUGCACUUUUUAUCUUCUUCUCAUGUAAUCCAAAUUGAAAUAAAUAUGUUAACUACUUUAAUUACAAGACAUACAUGACUAUUUAUCGUCCUUCCAUCUAACAACAUUAUAGUUACAAACCAUGACACAGAUGUUGAAUAAUUUGAAAUUGUUAGGAUUCUUAUAUCAACCUUUUGUAUUCCUAGUCUUUCGGGACCAACUAAUUUGAUUUCAUUAGUGGAAGGCUGUACCUAAAGAAAUCAAAGCAUCAAAUUUUCUUUUCUUCAUUAAUUUUUUGUAUUUAUUGAGUGUGUAAUAAAAGAUGGAUGAUAAUUACGAAUUGGUUUUCCUUUAAUACAUAUAAAUUAAGGUAAUUUGACAACAUUAUUUGUGGAUUAUUAUUGUUAGGUUAUUUUAACAAUCUAAAGGCUACGAAUGAAUAAGGGUGGUUGCAUACUGGUGAUCAUUUAGGUUAUUUCGAUCAACAAAGACAAUUAUUUGUUAUAGAUCGAAUAAAAGAGCUUAUCAAAUGUUAUGGUUUUCAGGUAAAGUUUUCAAACAUCUCUAGCUUUAUUUGUUUUUUCUUUUCUUUUUCAAUAAAAUAUCUGGAUGGCUUAGAAAAAAAUGAAUUUAUAAGGAUUAUUAAAAAAAAACACAUUUAUAAGGUUAUUUAUUAGGUGGCACCGGCAGAACUAGAAGGGUUGUUUCUUUCUCAUCCUGAUGUUGUCGGUGCUGUUGUUAUUCCGUAAGUAUAGUUUGAUCUCGUAUUUCUUUUUUAUAUUUUUGCUAAGGGUUAAAUCAUUAUUGAGAGUCUAAAUUUGUCAACUACUUUCAUAUUGGGGUUUGAAAAUUUUUUUAAUCUAAGCUAAUCCUUAAAACUUGAUAAUUGUUCUUAAAUUAGGGCUUGAACUAGGCAAUUUUUUUUCAAUUUAGGGUCUAGACCUUUUUUUAUUCAACUUACUCCCUAAACUUGUCGUCUGUUCUCACAGUAAAGCCUGAACUUUAGGAUUUUCAAGAAAAGAUCAGGGGCUAACUUGGAUAAAAAAAUUCAGACCCUAACGUGGGAACAAUUGCCAAGUUUAAGGAGUAACUUGGAUAAAAUAAAGUCCAAGCCCUAAUGUGGGAACAACUGCCAAGUUUAGAGACUAACUUGGAAAAAAAAAAUUCAAACUGUACUGUGAGAGCAGUUGCCAAAUUUAAGCCCCAAAUAGCGAGUAAUGCAUUAUCAAUUAAACUUUUAUUUUAUUCCUUCUAAUUAUUUAGAUUCCCUAAUAUAAAAGCUAGAGAGGUUUCAAUUGCAUAUGUUGUUAGAGCAUCAAACAGCUCACUAACUAAAAAAGAUAGGUUGCACGUUAUAAAAGAUUGCGAAGUGUCACUUUCUUAAAAAAUAUCCUAAGAUUAACUUUCGGAAAAAUUUUAAGAAGAGAUCAUUGCAAAAGUUGGAUCCAAGAUAUAAAAUACUCAAUUCUUCAUUGCCAAUAUUUUUCAUAAAAUUCCUGGUUACACAAACAGCUCCAAAGCCAUUAGUGUGAUUGCCCAUAGAUCACAAAACAAAUCCGUAAUAUUACCUCAUACAAGGUACUCAAAAAGAUUGAGUGUGAUGAUUGUAUUACCAAUGCAAAACAUCGUAAUUCUACAAUGGUUUAAUGAUUUUGGUUCAGUGAAUAGGUGAUUCAAUGGAAUUAGAGUUUAGCCUUUAUUCCCUCACUUUGUGUAAUAGAGAUUCAAUGAUAGACGCUAUUCAGACCUUUUGCUAUAUUACCUUCAACAACAAUGACAAAAAUCAACUCUUUUCAAUCUUUUCAAUUACAAACCAGCAUCUACUUAACCAUUAAAUCAUCUCUUCUGCAAGCAAAUUUCAUAAAAGAGAAACUUUCUCAUCAAUUAUGUUAGUGUUGGAUGAAAGAGGAGAGCAAGUGAAAAACAUCAAAAACCAAAGAAAUUAACACUACGUUUAGUUCGUUGUAAUAUAAAUAAGAGCUAUAAUCAAUAAUUCAACUGUUUGGUUGAAUGGAAUGAUGUUGUAAUAGUAUAAGUAAAAAAUCUAAAAUGAUCAGAGUACUCUUAGCAGAAGUUUUUUUUAGAUAGAUGAUUAUUGUUAUUGUUAUUCAAUUAUAAUAGAGUUAUUAUUAAAAAUAAUUUAAUAAUCAAUAAUCAAUAAUUUUAAAAAAUAAUAAUAUAUAAUUUAAUAAUAUUUUUAAUAUAAUUAUUUUUAUAUUAUAUUAUAUUAAAAUAUGAUUAAGUUAUUUUUUUAUUAAAUUAUAUUUUAAAAUUAAAUAUUUUAUAUUAAAUUAUAUUAAAAUAUUUCAAAUAUUUUAUUUUUAUAUUUUCUAAGUCCAAGUUCUAAUGGACUAAUCUGGAAUUUUUUUUUUUUUGUUAUUCAAUGUUGUAUGGAAUAACUAUUCUUUGGUGAUAUCAAAUAAAAGCUAUUACGGGAAGACAAGUAAUAGGGAAGUAAUGGUCAUUCCAUUGAAUGAGUAUUACGUUCAACUAAAUAAAUGAAUGGUUUACCAUUGUCAUUCCCCUAAACCAAAAACAUGGUGUUAGGAUGGUGACAAGCAGUGAAAAGGAGGUUGAAGUAGUGAAUUGUUUUUGUAGAUAUGAUGUAGUUUAAAAGAGGAGGAAGAAGAAGAAACAACCAUUUAAAAACACAGAUAAAAAACUAUUGUAAAUAUGGAAUUUUGCCGGGACCUUAACUCAAUUGACAAAUCUGACUUGUAAUUUCUAAAUAUCAAAAUCAUUUUAGUUUUAAUAUUUUUUUUAUAUGAUAUCACAAUUUUAAAUUUUAGAUUUUGUUUUGAACUUAAGUUAAUUAUAGUUUAAUGGUGAGUAAUGGAAUGGGAAAUUUUGAUUUGAUUUGGGCCCAUUUUUAAUCAUUUUGGAUUGUUCUAUCAAAUUUUGGGCUUUGGCCCAUUUGUUUUGAAUUUUAUGAAUGUUCUAAAUAUUCCAAAAAAAUAAAAAUUACAAAAUUAACCAAAAAACCAAAAGAAAGGAAAAUAUACAAAAAGCCCUUAGUUUUCUAAAAUUUAUAGUUUGGUCCAGAUGACUAUUUUGGGGAUUGCUAGCUCUCACUAACUCCUUUGCCAGCUUUCAAGCAAAAAAGGAGGAGAAAAGAUUCAUUUAUAAAGGAGCAUUUGCAAAAUGGAUAAUAAGGUUAAUGUUCAAGAAAAUUCUCAAAAACAGAUCAAAACAAACUCCAUUCUUUAUUGAACUAACCUAGAGAUUCCCCACCACCAAACAACCAUUAUUCACCAGUACGGUCAUCAUUAUAUCUACACACCACCCUACAUCCACCCAAAAACUAACUUAUGCAAUUGAAACCUUUUCAAUUAGUUUUGGGGCCACAAGCCAAAGAGGAAUAGCCAACAUUGAAAUAUCAAUAGUAGUGCCAUUUCCAAUAAGAACCAUACCAUUUGCCAUGUCAUGUGUCACAUGGUAGGUUGCACUAGAAUCAACAUACCAGCUAGCAUCCAAGGGACGUGUAAUAGCUGUCAAAGCAUGAGCAUGAGCUAAACUGUUUUGAGUUGAUGAACAGUCAAGAUCACUUAGAAGUAAUGAAAUUAAAAAAGUAGGAGAAGGAAGAAUUAGGGAGAAUAUUAGCCAAUAUUAAUUAUGUGCUAAAAUUCUAAGAGUUUGGUAAACUCUGGUAAAGAUAACUAAUAGGUUGUUAAUAACAGAAUAGUCGUUGUUAGAAGCAAUUACUUCAAGAGUUUAACUUAGAUGAGACUCAUUAGUCAAGCUAUAUACAUAGCAACUGAUGUAAAUAGAAAAGUUAGUCUUCUAUUGAAUAAAAUUCGGAUCAUUGCUUAAUUGUUUCCUUUAAGUUUUCACUUUUCUUGUUUGUUCCAUUUAUAUUUCUAACAUGGUAUUAGAGCUACGUGCCUCACGACUAGAUGAGCUGUUUUACAUGUGUUUUAUGUUGUUGAGUUCACUAAUGUGUUGGGUUCAUAAAUUUCCAGUGCACACUAUGAUAGUUUGCAAAGUUAUGGUUUCGAUUCAUUUUUCCUUCAUCUUUUGCAUUGAUCAUUGACUUGUUGUCUUGUCAUAAUGGUUGCGAUGGGUUGUGCACUAGAGGUGUUUGAUGAAAUGUAUGAUUCAUUUUUUACCGCGUUCUUUAAUCAAGCUUCAUUUUGCACUUUGUUCUCAUGUGUUUGUGUUCUUGAGUGAAUCUUGAAGGUUUUCAUGUUACGGAUUCAUGGUCUGAUAUGACUUCAUCAAUCUCUUUGUUUGAUUUUGGUUCCUUACGUUGAUUACGAUUUGAGCGUAUUCUUGAUUAGAGGUGAGCAAAACUCGAUUCGACUCGAAAAAAAAUUAAAUUUUGAGUUAAUCAAAUCAAGUUAUUCGGUUUUUCAUGUCAACUAGAAUAAAUAAUUCGAGUUUCGAGUUCGAGUCGAGUUAAAUUUUACAAUUCAAAUAACUCGAAUAAUUCAAAUAACUCAACUAACAGAUUGGUGUAAAUACACCUUUGGUCCCUGUUAAUUUUGAAACUGAGCAAAUUGGUGUCUCUCAACAAAAAGUACGGAAAAAAUUCAAAAUAAUUUUUAAAAUUCUAAAAUUUAUAUUUUAAAAAAGUAUAAAAAUAUUAAAAAAACUAAAGAAUAUUCAAAACAAUUUUUAAAAAAAAAUUCUAAAAUUAUAAUUUUUGAGACCUAAAAUUAAUUAUUGAAGUUUAUCCUUCUAAAGUAUCUUUUUUUUCCUCUUAUUUUGCUUUGAAAGAGUUUUCAAAAAUACAUUGUUUCAGAUUUAUGUGUUCUAACAUGAAAUUAGUUAUAUUGUAACACAAUUUUAAUUUGACAUGUUUAAUUUUUUUAAUUUAACUCGAACAAUUUCAUUCAAUUUAACUCGACUCGAUUUGAAAAAAUUCAAAUAGAGUUGGAUGUGACAACUCGAUUUUCAGUGAUACCGGAAAAGAUAGUUUCGAAACCCCAUUUUAAUAAAUUGAGUCUGUAAAUAUUAAAUAUGAAUAUUUACGGAAUUGAUGUAACACUCUUAACCGUUAUUCGUGUUAUAUAUUUAUUUCGUUUUAAUCAUUCGUAAAUAUUAAAAUUUUAAUUUUUUUUUAAUCUUGCAUUUAUUUCGUUUGUAGCUGUUCCCAAGACGUCCAAUAAAGAAAUCGAUAGAAAAAAUUAGCAAACAUUGAUAGCCGCCGAAAGAGCAGACCUGAGACCAUGACCACAACAAAAUAAUAAUUCAUCAUCAUCUAUAUUCAAACUCAACAAACUUUGCAAAACCAAGUAUAAAUUCAUUCAAGCAGCCUAACCCCCCAAAGAAAAAUCCACAAGGCUUGAUCCCAAUCUCCUCAAUCAGCACGCCCCCCCCCCCCCCCCAAAAAAAAAAAAAAAUCAAUGGCAAUUUGUUCAUUCAAUCCAAAAUCCCAAACCUACACUUCCCCAAGGCCCCCUCUCAAGCUCCCAACAAGCCCUGACCUCUCACUCACCUCCUUUAU